rnacentral:rRNA from 1 species
AUGAACAUGAGAUUCGGCCAUGAGGCAGCGGCGGCGGAGGGGCGCACCCCUGCCUGGCUAGGGCCGUUGCUAGGUGCAGAGUUCUUCAAGCCGUGCGCCACUCACCCCUACCUUGUGAAGUACGAGUGCAACCAUUACUGCCUCGACUGCGCGGGAGAGGAUGACGCCAUCUGCUGCACCCAGUGCGUCUUCGCCCAUCGCAACCACCACAUCGUCCAGAUUCGAAAGUCGUCAUACCGUGAAGUGAUACGAGUUGCAGAGUUGAAGGAAGUGGCGGACAUCUCGCAGGUGCAGACGUACGUCAUCAACUACAACCGGGUGGUGUUCCUGAACCGGCGGCCACAGGCACCGCAACACGGUGUCAAGUGCGUCGGCCCUGCCGGCGCGUGCCUGGAAUGCGGUCAGGGACUCGUGGACGCCAACUUCCUCUUUUGCUCGCUGAGCUGUAAGCUUGAUGGAAUGGUGUCUGAUCCCAAUCUAACUUUCAUUGUUGAUCCAAGAUGUAACCGGGAAGACCCGGUCCUAGAAAUAGAAGAAGAAGAUGAAGGCAGCGAUGGACUACCAGGGUCUAGCAAUCGUCUGCCGGGAUGGAUUAGCUACCGCCGCCGACCCCGGAAGGGCAUCCCUGAACGGGCACCCUUCUACUGA